GGGGCUGUGGCUCAGUGAUAGAGCACUUGCCUGGCAUGUGUGAGGCACUGGGUUCAAUUCUCAGCACCG
rnacentral:tRNA from 1 species